rnacentral:hammerhead_ribozyme from 1 species
CGAAGCUGACGAGUCCCAAACAGGACGAAACAGCUGUCUAGUGU